GCAAACUUGGUCAUUUAGAGGAAGUAAAAGUCGUAACAAGGUUUCCGUAGGUGAACCUUCGGAAGGAUCAUUACCGUAUCAUCGCGUGGCACCGGGAGGUAGUCCCCCAAUCGGUUCUACCUCUCUGGUGUACACUGUGUGUGAAACCCUUGACUUUGAGCACCGUAUGUUUCCUCGGCGGGUUCGCCCGCCAGUGAGGACCCCAUAAACGCUUUGUAGUAGCAGUUUUUGUCUGAAAUACAAACAAUAAUCAAAACUUUCAACAAUGGAUCUCUUGGUUCUGGCAUCGAUGAAGAACGCAGC
rnacentral:misc_RNA from 1 species